rnacentral:misc_RNA from 1 species
GCGAUCUAGACAAAACAAGUCCACCGUGGGCUUUGAAAAACGCUUUCCUUGAUAAAAUUUAAGCGUUUUAUAAGAGGAUGCCGGGGAAGGUUUUCCGGUUUAUCCCGGAGGGCUUGUAGCUCAGUUGGUUAGAGCGCGCGCU